rnacentral:rRNA from 1 species
CCUACGGGUGGCAGCAGUGAGGAAUAUUGGUCAAUGGCCGUAAGGCUGAACCAGCCAAGUCGCGUGAAGGAAGAAGGAUCUAUGGUUUGUAAACUUCUUUUAUCGGGGAAUAAAGGUAUCCACGUGUGGCUAUUUGCAUGUACCCUAUGAAUAAGCAUCGGCUAACUCCGUGCCAGCAGCCGCGGUAAUACGGAGGAUGCGAGCGUUAUCCGGAUUUAUUGGGUUUAAAGGGUGCGUAGGUUGGUUUUUAAGGCAGCGGUUAAAGUUUGUGGCUCAACCAUAAUAGUGCCGUUGAAACUGGUAGACUUGAGUGUGUUUGAGGUAGGCGGAAUGCGUGGUGUAGCGUUGAAAUGCAUAGAUAUCACGCAGAACUCCGAUUGCGAAGGCAGCUUACUAGGCCAUAACUGACACUGAAGCACGAAAGUGUGGGGAUCAAACAGGAUUAGAUACCCGAAUAGUC